AACGAACGCUGGCGGCAUGCCUAACACAUGCAAGUCGAACGAGACCUUCGGGUCUAGUGGCGCACGGGUGCGUAACGCGUGGGAACCUGCCCUUAGGUUCGGAAUAACUCCCCGAAAGGGGUGCUAAUACCGGAUAAUGUCUUCGGACCAAAGAUUUAUCGCCUUUGGAUGGGCCCGCGUUGGAUUAGCUAGUUGGUAGGGUAAAAGCCUACCAAGGCGACGAUCCAUAGCUGGUCUGAGAGGACGAUCAGCCACACUGGGACUGAGACACGGCCCAGACUCCUACGGGAGGCAGCGGUGGGGAAUAUUGGACAAUGGGCGAAAGCCUGAUCCAGCAAUGCCGCGUGAGUGAUGAAGGCCUUAGGGUUGUAAAGCUCUUUUACCCGGGAUGAUAAUGACAGUACCGGGAGAAUAAGCUCCGGCUAACUCCGUG
rnacentral:rRNA from 1 species